UACAGAGGGGGCAAGCGUUGUCCGGAAUUACUGGGCGUACAGCGCGCGCAGGCGGUUCAGGACGUGCCGUGUGACAAUCGUCGGCUUAACCGACGGAGGCCAGGGUACACGACUGAACUGGAGGCAGAGAGAGGGAUGUGGAAUACCCGGUGGAGCGGUGAAAUGCGUAGAGAUCGGGUGGAACACCAGGGGCGAAGGCGGCAUCCUGGCUCUGUUCUGACGCUGAGGCGCGAGAGCGUGGGGAGCAAACCGG
rnacentral:rRNA from 1 species